GAAAUGCGAUAAGUAGUGUGAAUUGCAGAAUUCAGUGAAUCAUCGAAUCUUUGAACGCACAUUGCGCCCCUUGGUAUUCCAUGGGGCAUGCCUGUUCGAGCGUCAUUUGUACCCUCAAGCCCGGCUUGUGUGAUGGGCCCCGGCGUCUCGUUCGCGAGACGGGCCCGAAAGGCAGCGGCGGCGUCGACCCGAUGAGCCCGAGCGUAUGGGGACUUCUGUCACACGUUCGCGGUGCGGACCGGCGCCUGCUUGACUUUUCUGAUUAUCCAGGUUGACCUCGGAUCAGGUAGGGAUACCCGCUGAACUUAAGC
rnacentral:misc_RNA from 1 species